UACGUAGGGUGCAAGCGUUAUCCGGAAUUAUUGGGCGUAAAGAGCUCGUAGGCGGUUUGUCGCGUCUGCUGUGAAAACUGGAGGCUCAACCUCCAGCCUGCAGUGGGUACGGGCAGACUAGAGUGCGGUAGGGGAGAUUGGAAUUCCUGGUGUAGCGGUGGAAUGCGCAGAUAUCAGGAGGAAUACCGAUGGCGAAGGCAGGUCACUGGGCCGCAACUGACGCUGAGGAGCGAAAGCAUGGGGAGCGAACAGG
rnacentral:rRNA from 1 species